rnacentral:tRNA from 1 species
AUUAAUCUGGCAGAUAAGUGUAUUAGAUUUAGAAUCUAAAAAUGAAGUUGUAGCACUUCGAUUAAUG